GACAAUGCCGAUGGAGGCUUGCUGCAUCCUCUUUGCAACAAAAAGCUAUUAAAUCAAGAAGAAAAUGUCAGAGAAGCUAAAGAAAGAAGGCCUGCAUUAAUUUUGCCUAAACAGAGGAUCCUGGCAUCAUGUUCUCAGUUUCUCUCUGUACCACCCACUUUCACGUCGAUUACAUUGCCUCUUAGCUGUCCAGGCCAGGUCUUCUUUCCCAGAGUAUUGCAUUUACCUUGGUUUGAGCUAAAAAUGGGCACUUCUAGUUAAGAGUUCCCAUACUGUUAUCAACAACUCUAUGUUACUUCUUGCUGAGGACAGCUUCUCUUUAGUAUUGUUUCGCUUCAUCCUCCCAUGGCUCUUGAUGACUUGUAACCAUGCAAUACACUAAACUGAGGUGUGUGCAAUAUUAAUGGAAGUAAUGCAGAGGUCCCUGGCAUUCAGUACUUGCCACCAGUAAAUGCGGUACUCCAUCUACUCACUGUCAGAAAAUAUAUUUUAAUUAUUCCCUAUAAAUUUGUCCUGUAAGUACUUUAAUCUAAUGGCUGUUGUGGUCCACAGGGUAUGAAUCAGGUGUGUUCAUGCAUAAAUCAAGAGCAAUUCAGCUAAAGGAAGUGGUACUGGUGUACGAUCAGCAAAAUGAAGCUCACUACAGCAAAACAAUUUACUGAUCUUUGUCUCAAUUAAAAUGGGGUAUGGGAAAAUGUCUUAGGAACUCACAGAUAUAAAUCCUGUGAGAUGCACUGCCAUAGUAGUAGUCUGGAGUCCCUGUACUUUUACAGGUGAAUUUGACCAUUUUCUGGUAGACAUUAGAAAGAAAAAUAGCAAAAGGCCAAGUCAAACAAACACAAAGCAAACAAAAUGGACAUUUCUCCAAAUCCUAAGUCACUUUUAGAUUAAAUAACAUUGUAAUCAAAGUAUGCUUUUUAAUAUAUAAAAUGGCAUAGACACAUUAACAAGACACAGAUGACCACACUGACAGAUCUUGAAUAGACUUAAUGUAUCAUCAUGGCAAAGGGUCAUUAUGAGAACUGACAGUCAUAAUUUUAUAUAGUAAAUUAAAAGAACAAUUGUUCUGGAAGGGUUGAAAUAAUUUGUAAAAUUGGGUCAAUCUGGUGAGAGUUUUGGAUUAAGUAUUUUUUUAAGAAAUAGAACAACGUAUCUCAGUCUUUUUCCAUAUAAAAAAGAGGUUCUUUCAUUUUAAAUGUUUCAUAUUCAUCUGGAUAUAAUUUCCCAUCAUCACGACAACUCUUCCAACAUCUUUGGUCUGAAGUGUUUUUUUCUCCAUGAUUUCUUACUCUCUUUACCUUCCCCAAGCAGUCUGAACAAUGAAAUUCUAAAUAAUUUUAUUUUGCUAGAUUUAGCCAGUAUCUGAUAUUUCUGAGAAGGGGAAUCCAUAUUUGGCCUCACCAACCUCAUAAAGAGUUUGGAAAUUUAAUGCGGUAUAUCAGGAAAGUGGCUGGCUUGGAAACCCAAAUGCAGGUCCCAACGUUCCUAGAUAUUCACAGUCAGGCUUCUGGCCUGUGAGACAUCUCUAUUUUAACAACUCUGAUCCAUAUUCAACUGAAUUUCAAAAUAAACACAGAAGUAGCUGGAUAAAUAUCUUAGGUUAGGUUUCUGCUCUUGCUAACACUAACUUUUUUCCUUUCUUUUUUGUUUCUGAGGGUGUGAAGCCUGCAGAACUGAAAUGCAGUUGGCAAUCACUGCAUCAAGUCAAUCUACCACUUAGGGGUGGAAAAGAGACCCACCUGGAAUCUCUAAAAUUAAUGAAAAAUGAACUUACAUUGAAGCAAGCGAAGUACAGCGGUGAUGGAUCAAGGACUGAAAGUACAGCAGUGACGGAUCAAGGACUGACGGUGCAGCGGUGAUGGAUCAAGGACUGACUUCAGCAUGCAACAAUCCAGCACCACACACGACAUCUCCCUGGCCCUGAAAGACUCUUACGAUAGAUGGAGCUCAUUGGACAAUUUGUAGACAUUUGCUGCCCCUCUACAGGGGUGGCCCAUAGACUAAGGGCAUGCUAAAUGGUAUCUGUGUAUUUUAUCAAAGGAUGGCGGGGGGUGGUGGUGGUUUGAGGUUGUAUUGGAUAGUAUGGGACCUGAGCAUGACGUAAAUGGUAUGGAAUAGGGGUGGAUACUGUCAUGGUUUUAGCUGGGAUAGAGUUAACUUUCUUCACGGUAGCUUGCAUAGUGCUGUGCUUUGGACUUAGUAUGAGAAUAAUGUUGAUAACACACCAAUGUUUUAGUUGUUGCUGGGUAGUGCUUGUACUAGUCAAGGACUUUUGCAGCCUCCCAUGCUCCUCCGGGUGCACAAGAAACUGGGAGGGGAGGGGGCACAGCCAAGACAGCUGAUCCAAACUGGCCAAAGGGAUAUUCCAAAUCAUAUGACGUCAUGCGCAGUAUAUUAACUGGGGGGAGUUGGCCAGGGGAAGCAGAGAUCGCAGCUCGGGGACCAGCGACGUUGGUCGACGGGUGGUGAGCAGUUGCAUCACUUGUUGUUUGGGGUUUUUCCCCUCUUCCCAAGAUUUCACCUCUCUCUCUCUAGUUAUUUGCCUUUUCAUUAUCUUAUUAUUAUUGUUGUUGUUGCUGUUGUUAUUGCUAUUACUACUAUUAUUGCUAUUAUUAUUGUUGUUGUUGUUAUUGUUAUUAUUACUCUUUUAUUUUAAUUGUUACACUGUUCUUAUCUCAACCCAUGAGUUUUCUUACUUUGUCCCUUCCAAUUCUCUCCCCCAGCCCACGGGGGUGGGGGGAGUGAGUGAGUGGCUGCGUGGUGCUUAGUUCUUGACUGGGGUUGAACUACAACAGCCCUUUUUGGCACCCAGUGAGGGGCAUGAAGGGUUUGAGAUAAUAACAGUUACUGGUCACAGCAUUGAUUCAUCUGUUCUCAGUGUUAGUUUAUUAGAUGUACACCGUCCUGAUUUUGAAGUACAUGUUAAAGUUCUUGUGUUGGUUUUUGUAGUUUGCUGUGCUCUGCAGUGAUUAGAGCUGUUUUGCCUAGGAGAUUUGUUACUAAAACACUGUCCUUGAGCUUUAUCGGUUAUUUGCGUCUUGCGCGGAAGCCAUUACUGUACUUCGGGUACCACCUCAUGGAGACGAUUAGCAGUUAUACCUCCCCCUCUGAGAGGUUUUUUAUGGAGGAAAUACCGAGUGGCACCUUAGCUACCAUCUUCUGUAAUGCCUCCAGCCAGGUGGAGGAAAUGGAUAACCGGGUUUACUGGACUGUGUGGGUUAGAUGGCCUGGGACAUCAGCCCCACAGGAGUAUAAAGCUUUAGUGGACACUGGUGCGCAGUGCACCCUAAUUAUUAUUGUUGUUGGUAUUAUUACUCUUCUAUUGUAAUUAUUAAACUGUUCUUAUCUCAA